rnacentral:rRNA from 1 species
CUACGGGUGGCAGCAGUGGGGAAUAUUGCACAAUGGGCGCAAGCCUGAUGCAGCAACGCCGCGUGAGCGAUGAAGGCCUUCGGGUCGUAAAGCUCUGUCCUUAGGGAAGAAACAAAUGACGGUACCUGAGGAGGAAGCCCCGGCUAACUACGUGCCAGCAGCCGCGGUAAUACGUAGGGGGCAAGCGUUAUCCGGAAUUAUUGGGCGUAAAGAGUGCGUAGGCGGUUUUGUAAGCGUGAGGUGAAAGGCAAUGGCUCAACCAUUGUAAGCCUUGCGAACUGUAAGACUUGAGUGCAGGAGAGGAGAGUGGAAUUCCUAGUGUAGCGGUGAAAUGCGUAGAUAUUAGGAGGAACACCAGUGGCGAAGGCGACUCUCUGGACUGUAACUGACGCUGAGGCACGAAAGCGUGGGGAGCGAACAGGAUUAGUACCCUAGUAGUC